UAGGUUAUUAUUAGACUCGAUACCUGUGCAAAAAUUAACCUCAAUAGAUAUUAUUCAGUUUUAAAAUUAAAGCUUCAAAAGUUCUAUACCUACGUUGUUAAAUAAAAUAAUGUUUAAGAAAAUAAAUAUCAAUAUUGUAUUUCUUCUAUUUCUCAUUAUGGUUGCAUCGUUAUUUUUCAUCGAAUGCAUUCAAACGGAAGACACACCUAAACGUGAUCGUCGUUCUUUAUUCAUAUGGGAAUGGGAUAUUGAUUAUGUUAUAGUUCCUGAUGGAAAUGCUAACUAUACAAUGGAAACUACUACCCCAAGAAGUAAUAAUAAUUCAUUUACUUAUGUUCCUUCAACUACAACAGCAGCAGCUCCAAAAUAGUAUAAAACUUAUCCUAAAUUCACUUAGAAAUAGUGUAUAUUUUCUGAAAUGUGAAAAUGCCAAUGGAUUUUAACGUUUUGCAAUAAUAACAGAACCGAAUUCAAGAUAUUUACUUACAUAUAUUAAUUUAGUGAUUUAAUAAGCAAAAUAAAAUUUGUAUCACACAAAAUAAAUUACAAAAGGAUUUACUCAAAUA